rnacentral:lncRNA from 1 species
AUGGAAGAAAAAGUCAGAAAUAAAUCAAGGAUGGGGGAUAGGACUGCAAGAAUAGUCACCACCAUGGAUCCAGAGGUGUCCCGUUGGUCCUCAGUCUUCAGUUCUUCAGUGGUGGGUGCACACGGAUCUGGCUUUGAUGGUGGAUGCACCCUGAGCAAGAUUUUCUGCUGCCUUUUUAAGACCAUCAUACCUGCUAAUCAGCAUAUCUGGUCACCUUUAGGUUUUGUUUUUUUUUUCUCUGGUCCCACAGCUUUUGUUGCAUCCAUCUUCAAGGGCAGGAACGUUUGCCUCUUAUCAGUUCAUUGGCAAUGCAGGCAUGGGGUCUGGCCUGCACAAUAGAGCCACAAACGGCUCCAGGAUGGGGCCAGCUCAGCACACCUCUGACCCUUUCAAGGUUAUCUAAAGAGUCUGGACAAUGCAACCGCAAGGAAGUGGGGGAUGCAUCUGUCCUGGU